ACCCCAGACUCCUACGGGAGGCAGCAGUGGGGGAUAUUGCACAAUGGGGGGAACCCUGAUGCAGCGACGCCGCGUGGGUGAAGAAGCGCCUCGGCGCGUAAAGCCCUGUCAGCAGGGAAGAAAAUGACGGUACCUGAAGAAGAAGCCCCGGCUAACUACGUGCCGGCAGCCGCGGUAAUACGUAGGGGGCAAGCGUUAUCCGGAUUUACUGGGUGUAAAGGGGGCGCAGACGGCGAUGCAAGCCAGGAGUGAAAGCCCGGGGCCCAACCCCGGGACUGCUCUUGGAACUGCGUGGCUGGAGUGCAGGAGGGGCAGGCGGAAUUCCUGGUGUAGCGGUGAAAUGCGUAGAUAUCAGGAGGAACACCGGUGGCGAAGGCGGCCUGCUGGACUGCAACUGACGUUGAGGCCCGAAAGCGUGGGGGGCGAGCAGGAUUAGAUACCCUAGUACA
rnacentral:rRNA from 1 species